rnacentral:rRNA from 1 species
UGGGGAAUAUUGGACAAUGGGGGAAACCCUGAUCCAGCAAUGCCGCGUGUGUGAAGAAGGCCUGAGGGUUGUAAAGCACUUUCAGUGGGGAGGAGGGUUAUUCGGUUAAGAGCUAGAUAAUUGGACGUUACCCACAGAAGAAGCACCGGCUAACUCCGUGCCAGCAGCCGCGGUAAUACGGAGGGUGCAAGCGUUAAUCGGAAUUAUUGGGCGUAAAGGGUGCGUAGGUGGUUAGGUAAGUUAUCUGUGAAAGCCCCGGGCUCAACCUGGGACGGUCAGAUAAGACUGCUUGACUCGAGUAUAGGAGAGGGUAGUGGAAUUUCCGGUGUAGCGGUGAAAUGCGUAGAGAUCGGAAGGAACACCAGUGGCGAAGGCGGCUACCUGGCCAGAUACUGACACUGAAGCACGAAAGCGUGGGGAGCAAACA